AUCCAGGUGACGAGUCCCAAAUAGGACGAAAUGCGCAUCCUGAAU
rnacentral:hammerhead_ribozyme from 1 species